rnacentral:sRNA from 1 species
GGAGUGCUCGGCUAUGAUUUGUCUCUCUUUUGACUGCCAAGAAAUGGUUAAUGCUAGCUUAUCUGGCUAGUUGGACAGGUGUCCUCUUCCUCCUUAUGGUCCAUGGACAUUGUCACUGGAGAUGCAUAUUCAGUGGAAGGCUACAACUUUCCUAUCAGAGGAUAUUUCACUGGUUAAGAGGGUACAAAUAGGUCAGGUAUGGCAGCUCACAUGUGUAAUCUCAGCACUUUGGGAGGCCAAGGCAGAAGGAUUGCUUGAGCCCAGGUGUUUGCGAACAGCCUGGGCAAUAUAGCAAGCAAGAUCUUAUUU